rnacentral:rRNA from 1 species
GACGAACCGUGCAAACGUUGUUCGGAAUCACUGGGCUUAAAGGGCGCGUAGGCGGGCUCCCAAGUCGGUGGUGAAAUCUUUCAGCCCAACCGGAAAAGUGCCGCCGAUACUGGGAGUCUCGAGGGAGGUAGGGGUCGAGGGAACUUCCGGUGGAGCGGUGAAAUGCGUAGAUAUCGGAAGGAACGCCGGUGGCGAAAGCGCUCGACUGGACCUCUUCUGACGCUGAGGCGCGAAAGCCAGGGGAGCAAACGGG